rnacentral:rRNA from 1 species
AGUGAACGCUGGCGGUAGGCCUAACACAUGCAAGUCGAACGGCAGCACAGUAAGAGCUUGCUCUUACGGGUGGCGAGUGGCGGACGGGUGAGGAAUACAUCGGAAUCUACUUUUUCGUGGGGGAUAACGUAGGGAAACUUACGCUAAUACCGCAUACGACCUACGGGUGAAAGCAGGGGAUCUUCGCACCUUGCGCGAAUGAAUGAGCCGAUGUCGGAUUAGCUAGUUGGCGGGGUAAAGGCCCAGCAAGGCGACGAUCCGUAGCUGGUCUGAGAGGAUGAUCAGCCACACUGGAACUGAGACACGGUCCAGACUACUACGGGAGGCCGCAGUGGGGAAUAUUGGACAAUGGGCGCAAGCCUGAUCCAGCCAUACCGCGUGGGUGACGAAGGCCUUCGGGUUGUAAAGCCCUUUUGUUGGGAAAGAAAAGCAGCAGGUUAAUACCCCGCUGUUCUGACGGUACCCAAAGAAUAAGCACCGGCUAACUUCGUG